rnacentral:pre_miRNA from 1 species
AGUUGAAAUUUUCAUCAAUUUCUACCAUUAAAAUGUGGCAUGACUAAUAAAAUCUCCAAAAAUUUACACAGAACUUGCCACAUAUAUAUCAUGCCGACAUACAUGAAUCAGUUUUUAACAAUAGAAAUAAAUAAAAACUUUAAUA